AUUGAACGCUGGCGGAAUGCUUUACACAUGCAAGUCGAACGGCAGCAUAGGUGCUUGCACCUGAUGGCGAGUGGCGAACGGGUGAGUAAUACAUCGGAACGUGCCCAGUCGUGGGGGAUAACGUAGCGAAAGUUACGCUAAUACCGCAUACGAUCUACGGAUGAAAGCGGGGGACCGUAAGGCCUCGCGCGAUUGGAGCGGCCGAUGUUAGAUUAGGUAGUUGGUGGGGUAAAGGCUCACCAAGCCGACGAUCUAUAGCUGGUCUGAGAGGAUGAUCAGCCACACUGGGACUGAGACACGGCCCAGACUCCUACGGGAGGCAGCAGUGGGGAAUUUUGGACAAUGGGCGCAAGCCUGAUCCAGCCAUUCCGCGUGCAGGACGAAGGCCUUCGGGUUGUAAACUGCUUUUGUACAGAACGAAAAGCUCUGGGUUAAUACCCUGGGGUCAUGACGGUACUGUAAGAAUAAGCACCGGCUAACUACGUGACG
rnacentral:rRNA from 1 species